UACGGGGGGGGCAAGCGUUGCUCGGAAUUACUGGGCGUAAAGGGCUCGUAGGCGGCCAACUAAGUCGGACGUGAAAUCCCCAGGCUCAACCUGGGAACUGCGUCCGAUACUGGAUGGCUUGAAUCCGGGAGAGGGAUGCAGAAUUCCUGGUGUAGCGGUGAAAUGCGCAGAUAUCAGGAGGAACACCGGUGGCGAAGGCGGUUCUCUGGGCCUUACCUGACGCUGAGGAGCGAAAAGCUGGGGGAGCAAAACAGG
rnacentral:rRNA from 1 species